GACGAACGCUGGCGGCGUGCUUAACACAUGCAAGUCGAACGAAGUGGCGAACGGGUGAGUAACGCGUAAUCAACCUGCCCUUCAGAGGGGGACAACAGUUGGAAACGACUGCUAAUACCGCAUACUGAAGGAGGGGCUUGCGUCUGAUUAGCUAGUUGGAGGGGUAACGGCCCACCAAGGCGAUGAUCAGUAGCCGGGCUGAGAGGAUGAACGGCCACAUUGGGACUGGGAAACGGCCCAGAAUCCUACGGGAGGCAGCAAGGGGGAAGCUUCCGCAAUGGACGAAAGUCUGACGGAGCAAAGCCGCGUGAGUGAUGACGGCCUUCGGGUUGUAAAGCUCUGUUAAUCGGGACGCGGUACCGGAAGAGAAAGCAACGGCUAACUACGUGCCAGCAGCCGCGGUAAUUC
rnacentral:rRNA from 1 species